AGAUGUGAGGGUCAUCUGGCUGCGACAUGUCACCCCAUUGAUCGCCAGGGUUGAUAAGGCUGAUUUGAAAGGCUAGGCGGGUGUCUCCUUCCUCCCUCACUGCUCUAAGUGUGUCCCUCCCGAAGCUGCAUGCUCUGUCAGUCGAAGAGGAUGGCCUUCCCUGAAUAGAGACGGACCCGUCUUUGGAUCCAGGGUAUACAAGUAGCUGCGCUCCCCUCUAGAACCUCCAAACAAGCUCUCAACCUAGAUGUUCUCAUUUGUAAAAUGGAGAUAAUAAUAGCCCUUUCAAAUACUAUCUGCCUAAUUACAGUAAAAGAUCCUUUGCCAAUAGGAACUUGCAUCUUU
ensembl:misc_RNA 7SK 7SK RNA